rnacentral:rRNA from 1 species
AAUGGGCGAGAGCCUGAUCCAGCCAUGCCGCGUGCAGGAAGACUGCCCUAUGGGUUGUAAACUGCUUUUAUGAGGGAAGAAACACCUCCACGUGUGGAGGCUUGACGGUACCGUAAGAAUAAGGAUCGGCUAACUCCGUGCCAGCAGCCGCGGUAAUACGGAGGAUCCAAGCGUUAUCCGGAAUCAUUGGGUUUAAAGGGUCCGUAGGCGGGUGCGUAAGUCAGUGGUGAAAGUCUGCAGCUUAACUGUAGAACUGCCAUUGAUACUGCACACCUUGAGUAAUUAUGAAGUGGUUAGAAUAUGUAGUGUAGCGGUGAAAUGCAUAGAUAUUACAUAGAAUACCGAUUGCGAAGGCAGAUCACUAAUAAUUUACUGACGCUGAUGGACGAAAGCGUAGGUAGCGAACAGGAUUAGAUACCCUGGUUUUUUACGCCGUAAACGAUGGUUACUAGCUGUUUGGACCAAUUGAGGGCUGAGUGGCUAAGCGAAAGUGAUAAGUAACCCACCUGG